CAGCCGCCGCGUAAUACGUAGGGUGCAAGCGUUAAUCGGAAUUACUGGGCGUAAAGCGUGCGCAGGCGGUUUGUUAAGACAGAUGUGAAAUCCCCGGGCUCAACCUGGGAACUGCAUUUGUGACUGGCAAGCUAGAGUAUGGCAGAGGGGGGUGGAAUUCCGCGUGUAGCAGUGAAAUGCGUAGAUAUGCGGAGGAACACCGAUGGCGAAGGCAGCCCCCUGGGCCAAUACUGACGCUCAUGCACGAAAGCGUGGGGAGCAAACAGGAUUAGAUACCCCCGUAGUCCCUGUCUCUUAUACA
rnacentral:rRNA from 1 species